UUCGCUUCUCGGCCUUUUGGCUAAGAUCAAAGUGUAGUAUCUGAGUAGUGUUUAUAGUGCUGGCUAAGAAAAAUAAAGAUUUAUUAUAACUAAAUGGACUUGCCUCAGUUUCAAAAUUAAUGAAUUAUUGUAAUCGUUGAUUUAAAUGGAUAAUAUUUC
rnacentral:snRNA from 1 species